rnacentral:rRNA from 1 species
AUUGAACGCUGGCGGCAGGCUUAACAUAUGCAAGUCGAGCGGAGAUGAGGUGCUUGCACCUUAUCUUAGCGGCGGACGGGUGAGUAAUGCCUAGGAAUCUGCCUAUUAGUGGGGGACAACAUUCCGAAAGGAAUGCUAAUACUGCAACGGCCCAACGGGGGAAAGCAGGGGAUCUUCGGACAUUGCGCUAAUAAAGGAGCUUAGGCCGGAUUAGCGAGUGGUGGGGGUAAAGGCCUACCACGGCGACGAUCUGUAGCGGUGCUGGGAGGAGGAUCCGCCACACUGGGACUGAGACACGGCCCAGACUCCUACGGGAGGCAGCAGUGGGGCAUAUUGGACGAUGGGCGGAAGCCUGAUCCAGCCAGGCCGCGUGUGUGAAGAAGUCCUUUUGGUUGUAAAGCACUUUAAGCGAGGAGGAGGCUACCUGGAUUAAUACUCUAGGAUAGUGGACGUUACUCGCAGAAUAAGCACCGGCUAACUCUGUGCCAGCCGCCGCAGUAAGAC